UUUCCGUAGGUGAACCUGCGGAAGGAUCAUUAAAGAGUAAGGGUCUUCGGGCCCGAUCUCUAACCCUUUGUUUAACUACCAUGUUGCUUUGGCGGGCCCGUCUCACGACCGCCGGAAGUUUGGCUUCGACCAAACUUCUGGCCCGUGCCCGUCAGUGGCCCCUUCAAAUUCUUGAUCAAGUAUGAUGUCUUAGUUAAAAACUUAAUAGUUAGAACUUUCAACAACGGAUCUCUUGGUUCUG
rnacentral:misc_RNA from 1 species